rnacentral:misc_RNA from 1 species
GUGAAUAACAAAAGGACUGGAUCUCUUUUAACCAAAGAUUUCCUUUCCGUCUUCACUUUCACACACACCUGUGCACAUGUUCUUUUUAAACAUUCUUUGUUUAAACACUUGUGUUAACAAUUUGAAAAAGUCCAAGAUGUAAAAGUUGAUAAACGAAAGUA